rnacentral:lncRNA from 13 species
AGAACACAACACAGCCUUUGUACAGAGGGCCCAAAACAGUGAAUCCAGGAUCUGAAUUCUGCUUAGUUUUGCCUUGGAUGAGAAGGCGAGGUCUUGGAUCUUUUGGUUUCCUGAAACUUCACUGGGAUUAACAGAGUUAAAGUAAGACCUGGGGCAGAGAGAUAAGGCAAAGAAAGAUUAGAGAAACUAAACAUCCUAAGAUUUACGACUAGAAAACAAUGGAGCUGGGAUUUGAAGCCAGAUCUGUAUGGCCUGAUUUCUCAACCUCAUGUCUAUGCCAAAAAGCUAACAUUAUCAGGUGUUUUGACAGUCACUUCCUUCUGGAUCCCUGACUGCUCUGCUGCCUUUUUUAUGCCACCACAGUUCCCUGCAUGCAAUGACUUAGCUGUGAGUUCCUGAAGGGCAUAGAAAUGUCUGCUUUACCUCUAAUGCCUGGGUCUUAGGAAGUGCUCCUUAAAGUUUAGUGAAUUGCAGAUUGACUGCUGGGGUCCUGUUGUUAAUCUUACAAUCCUGUGAAUCUCUGUUGGAGAUGGUAUUUUAUUCACAUGCGUUUCCCUAAGCCUGAACACAGCACCUGACCCGGAUGAGGUAUUUAAG